AUGGCCUGGGCCCUUCUCCUCACAGUGCUUUCCCACAGCUUAGGUUCCCUGGUCCAGGCAGCAGUGACUCAGCAGCCACCCUCGCUGUCACACAACGUGGGAGACACUGUCAGGAUCACCUGCUCUGGGCUUAGUAGCAGCUAUGAUGCUGGCUGGUACCAACAGAAGGUCCCUGGCACUGGCCCUGUCACUGUGAUCUAUGGCAGCAACGGCAGACCCUCGGGCAUCCCUUCGCGAUUCUCCGGAUCCCGGUCCGGCUCCACGGCCACGUUAACCAUCACUGGGGUCCAAGCCGAGGACGAGGCUGUCUAUUUCUGUGGUAGCGAUGACAGCAGCAGUACUGAUGAGGGUGUAUUCGGCACCAUGACCACGUUAACCAUCACUGGGGUCCAAGCUUAG